rnacentral:rRNA from 1 species
UACAGAGGUCUCAAGCGUUUGUUCGGAUUCAUUGGGCGUAAAGGGUGCGUAGGUGGCGCGCUAAGUCAGGUGUGAAAUUUCGGAGCUUAACUCCGAAACUGCAUUUGAUACUGGCGUGCUCGAGGACUGGAGAGGAGACUGGAAUUCACGGUGUAGCAGUGAAAUGCGUAGAUAUCGUGAGGAAGACCAGUGGCGAAGGCGGGUCUCUGGACAGUUCCUGACACUGAGGCACGAAGGCCAGGGGAGCAAACGGG